rnacentral:rRNA from 1 species
UACGAAGGUGGCUAGCGUUGCUCGGAAUCACUGGGCGUAAAGGGUGCGUAGGCGGGUCUUUAAGUCCGGGGUGAAAUCCUGGAGCUCAACUCCAGAACUGCCUUUGAUACUGAGGAUCUUGAGUUCGGGAGAGGUGAGUGGAACUGCGAGUGUAGAGGUGAAAUUCGUAGAUAUUCGCAAGAACACCAGUGGCGAAGGCGGCUCACUGGCCCGAUACUGACGCUGAGGCACGAAAGCGUGGGGAGCAAACAGG